rnacentral:rRNA from 1 species
AACGAACGCUGGCGGCAUGCCUAACACAUGCAAGUCGAACGAAGCCUUCGGGCUUAGUGGCGCACGGGUGCGUAACGCGUGGGAAUCUGCCCCUCGGUUCGGAAUAACAGUUAGAAAUGACUGCUAAUACCGGAUGAUGACGAAAGUCCAAAGAUUUAUCGCCGAGGGAUGAGCCCGCGUAGGAUUAGCUUGUUGGUGGGGUAAUGGCCCACCAAGGCGACGAUCCUUAGCUGGUCUGAGAGGAUGAUCAGCCACACUGGGACUGAGACACGGCCCAGACUCCUACGGGAGGCAGCAGUGGGGGAAUAUUGGACAAUGGGCGAAAGCCUGAUCCAGCAAUGCCGCGUGAGUGAUGAAGGCCUUAGGGUUGUAAAGCUCUUUUACCAGGGAUGAUAAUGACAGUACCUGGAGAAUAAGCUCCGGCUAACUCCGUGCCAGCAGCCGCGGUAAU